rnacentral:rRNA from 1 species
ACGGCGGACGGGUGAGUAACGCGUGGGAAUCUGCCCAGUAGUGGGGGACAACAGCCGGAAACGGCUGCUAAUACCGCAUACGCCCUACGGGGGAAAGGGGGGGAUCUUCGGACCUCUCGCUAUUGGAUGAGCCCGCGUCGGAUUAGCUAGUUGGUAGGGUAAAGGCCUACCAAGGCUACGAUCCGUAACUGGUCUGAGAGGAUGAUCAGUCACACUGGAACUGAGACACGGUCCAG